CCCAGUAGCAAACGCAGUGGGGUGAGGGGGACCUCAGAGCCCUGUCCUUGGCUGGAGCAGCUGCCACCAGCCCACACAGCCAGGGGACAUUGGCUGUCCUGCAGAAAAUUAACCUGGAUUUGAGCAACUGCUGCACCCCACUCCCACUGGCACCAAAUCCUCCCCUUUGUGCUCCUGGGGUCACAGCUCUGGCAGUGCCCGUGGCACCUCGGACACCGAGCCAGCUCUUGCUCCAGAAUUUGGGGAACAGCCAAACUCCUCCACUGGAACCAGUUUCCAUUUGGGACGUGACAUCAUUCUAAGCUGUCAUAAAGUCAAAGUGUGUGUUCUCUACACAGGACCAACAUGGAGAGCUUGUGUUGUCCUUGACAUUAUGGCCACUGCCACAAUCAUCCAUGUCCAUCCUCCCCUGGAAACACAGGACAUCAGACUCAGGAGUCUGGGUCACCUCUCACUGCUUAGGUGAUAUUUCUCCUCCACAUGGGACAGUUGGACUCAAUGGGCUGAAUUUCAUUGUCCUGGCAGCCUCCCAGUGCUGACGUGGGAGUGACAAAGAACUGUCUUUGGACAUCUCUGAUGUCCUUGAGGACGUGGGACAGACCCAUGGGGACAUUGGCAUCUGACCAUCAGCCUCCUUGGAAAGCAGUGGACAGCAAACCAGCACUGUGCUGUGAACUCACGGUCUGAGAUGAGCUAGAAGUGACUGUAGGAGAAAUCUGCCCUUGGCCAGAGGCACUGGGUGGGAUAAUCCCCUCUCUGAUGAUGAGUGUGAUGCUCCUAAAACCCCCAAGUGCUCACACCUCCAAGGACCUCCUGCUCCAGGACUGGAUGGUGCUGGAUCUGCAGGAGUCCAGGCUGGGGAAGAUUCAUUAUCACAGGAAAAGAAGAGUGUAUUUCUGAGAUGGACUGAUUUAUUCCUGCCUGGAUGGGACCUGUGGAGCUUCCCACUGAGAAGCUGUUGGGAUGAAAUCUUCCUGGCAAGAUUGGUUCAGACAAACACAAGGACACAGCUGGAAGCAGCUCCAGGGGAGGUGAAUCACACCGAGCUCUAGACACCAUCAAGACAAGAUGAAACAGCCUCAAGUUGCUCCAGGCCUCUUCUCCAUCAGUGCACAUCAGCCCUCCUCCUCCAGACCCCCAGCCCAUUAUCUCUGAUGUGUUGGCUUUCCAGAGAACUUUUGAAGUUCUUGCUGUAGUCAAGUGGACGUUGGUGGGAUUUGUGAAGUUCAGCAGCCCAAGGGCAGAGGAGAACAGGACAUUUUUCUUGAUCCUUCUCAGAUGGCUGCCCCUUCCCACAGGUAUUCCUUAGAUCAUGUCUAAGAACUGCUUCUCUGUAGACUGACAAAAGCAGAGGAAGGAAUCUCCCAUCAAUCCAUGAGGAGAUGAGAUGAGAUGAGAUGAUGAGAUGAGAUGAGAUGAGAUGAGAUGAGAUGAGAUGAGAUGAGACGAGACGAGGUUAAUUCAGGAAAAAGGUUCUUUCUCUACUCUUUGUCUCCCCUUUACUUAGGAAAGGGGCACACCUUUCCUCAAGUGAGUUAAAUGUGGGUUCAGAAGAAUGUUUUGAUGUAUUUCUGCUACAUGGAAGAAAGGAGAGAAGGUUUCCUGCCCAGCUUGGUGAGUUGGCAGUAGCUGUCCAGCCUGUCCAGCAGCUCCUUUCCAGAGAGCAUCCUCUGGACAGCAGAGAAGGGGGAUGAUCAGGGAGGGCAAGAGCAGCAUAAGCAGUGAGCAGAGAACCUCCCUCUGUCCCCAGUCCCCACAGAGCAGUCAGGAGUUCUGCUGCCAGCAGCUGUGAGAGCACCGUGGUGAGAGGCAGGAAUCAGGGGCCUCUUGGCAGGAAGAACCAAAAAUGAUGGAAAAGAUCUAGAGGCAGAGGGGGCAGGGGAAGGCAGGCCUUGGUCAGAGCUGUCUGGAAGGCAUGAGGCUCUGAAAGCCAUGUCUUUGGGCUGCUCCUCAGGGCUGAGGCAGCAGCCAGACUUCCAGGCUCAGUCCUCAAUUUCCCCGGUCA